AACAUAGAUUUUAGAAUCACACAGUG
rnacentral:piRNA from 1 species